AUUGAACGCUGGCGGCAUGCCUUACACAUGCAAGUCGAACGGUAACAGGUUAAGCUGACGAGUGGCGAACGGGUGAGUAAUGUAUCGGAACGUGCCCAGUCGUGGGGGAUAACUGCUCGAAAGAGCAGCUAAUACCGCAUACGACCUGAGGGUGAAAGCGGGGGAUCGCAAGACCUCGCGCGAUUGGAGCGGCCGAUGUCAGAUUAGGUAGUUGGUGGGGUAAAGGCUCACCAAGCCGACGAUCGGUAGCUGGUCUGAGAGGACGACCAGCCACACUGGGACUGGGACACGGCCCAGACUCCUACGGGAGGCAGCAGUGGGGAAUUUUGGACAAUGGGCGCAAGCCUGAUCCAGCCAUGCCGCGUGCGAGAAGAAGGCCUUCGGGUUGUAAACCGCUUUUGUCAGUGAAGAAAAGGUUCUGGCUAAUACCUGGGACUCAUGACGGUACCUGAAGAAUAAGCACCGGCUAACUACGUG
rnacentral:rRNA from 1 species